CCUGCACACUGUGCACAUGUACCCUAGAACUUAAAGUGUAUAUAUAUAUAUAUAUAUAUAUAUAUAUAUAUAUAUACAUACACACACAUAUAUAUAAAAGAAUCCAGGGGUUCUUGGCCAUCCCAGGUUCCCCUCACCUAGGAGCUGACCCUGUGGCUCAGGGCUUUGGUGUCCAAGCCUGGCUUGGUGGUUCGCGCCUUUAAUCCCAACACUUUGGAAGGCUGAGGCAGGAGGAUUGCUUGAGGCCAGGAGUUCCAGACCUACCUGUAUAACAAAGCAAGACUCCAACACUAUAAAAAAAUAAAAAAUUAGCUGGGUGUGGUGGUACGUGCCUGUGGUCUCAGCUAUGCGGGAGACUGAGGUGUGAGAAUUGCUUGAGCUCAGGAGUUUGAGGCUGCAAUGAGCUAUGAUCAGGCCGCUGCACUCCAGCCUGGGUGACGGAGCAAGGACCUGUCUCUCCAUAAGUAAAUAAAUAUAUAAAUAAAUAAAGGUAUCCUGGAAAGGCUGAGCUGGUUCACCAUAAUCAUGCUUUUAUUUAUUCUGGCAAGUAAGGUGAUUCUUUAAAAUAUAUGCUAAAAGUCACACCCACCCCUCAACACUCUCUCUCUCUCUCAACAAGGAAGACCCAGAAUUCAGAUCUUUCUUUCAGAUUUGAGACCCAACAAAAGGAGCUAGAUAUUAAAAAUAUUGUGGUAUGGUCCCCUAAAAUCAUUAUUUCAUGCUGAUUUUGCUUCACAGAACUAAGGGCAAGCUGCACUUGUGCUUGUGUUGUCAGAAAGAACACCAAGUCCUGCAUGCCUCUGACUGAUGCUUCCUUUUGCAGGAAGUGUGCUCACUGAGAAGACAAGCAAGUCACACAUUUCCAAGGAGGCUCGUUGAAUACACAGAGCUGUGUCCACAGGAGUGAGGAUGAGACAGUUCUCAGCAUCCCCAGGAUUCCCCGUCUCGAUUGCACAUUGGCCUCUCCCUUUGACCACCAGGCCUGUCUGCCAUGUGGUCUUGCAAUGCUGCCUAGGUUGGUCUGGAACCCCUGGCUUCAGUCAAUUCUCCUGCCUCAACCUCCCAAAGGUGACUCAAGAAAAAGGGCAACUUUAUGAAGAGGACCCAAGGCAAUACUAUGCAACCCAAGAAGAGGAGGAAGACUCGGGUGUCCCAUGAGGGGAUGCAGCUAAAACAGUCUGCAGAAAAUAAGCCAAGUCAGGCCCAGAAAUGGAGACGAUGAAGUCUCUACAGCGAUGGGGCAGCAAGGCCGGAGCAGCAGUGCUCACCCUGGGCGGGAACGCUCAGCCAUGAAAAGUGUCCAGGAAAAGCAGGGAAGGAAUCCUUCUCCGGAUUGGGAUUUUAACAUUGAAGCCACAGCGUCCAGGAAGGAGCUGGUUCUUCGGCUCAGGCGUGCCCUUAACAGGGGUUCUAAUGAGGGGUGGAGAGAAUCCCUGUCAAGCUGCCCACGAUGGUCAUGGCUGUGACUCUACCCCUCAGAUGGCUAAACGCAUGGUGCCGGCUCCGCCACCGCGUGCCCAUCAAAGAGACAAGAGGAUGUUGCAUGUCUUGAGAUCAUUCUAAGU
rnacentral:lncRNA from 10 species